UACGGGGGGGGCAAGCGUUGUCCGGAAUUACUGGGCGUAAAGAGCUCGUAGGUGGUUUGUCGCGUUGUUCGUGAAAACUCACAGCUUAACUGUGGGCGUGCGGGCGAUACGGGCAGACUGGAGUACUGCAGGGGAGACUGGAAUUCCCAGUGUAGCGGUGAAAUGCGUAGAUAUUGGGAAGAACACCUGAGGCGAAGGCGGGUUGCUGGGCCGACACUGACGCUGAUGCGCGAAAGCCAGGGGAGCGAACGGG
rnacentral:rRNA from 1 species